GGAUAUUCUACGGUGUCAGGUUCUGGUUGUGACGUUGAGACCGAGGACUGUACUAGAUGGUCAGUGUCUCCCAGUUCUGGUGUAGACUCAGGAAGAGAAGAAUGAUCAAGUUCUGGCCCCUCCUGACUAAGCCAAUUUGGCAGUGGUGGUGAUUGUGCUGUUGUCUCCCCCUCACUGCUAGUUGGCGAGGGAAAAAAAU
rnacentral:lncRNA from 1 species